rnacentral:rRNA from 1 species
AGUGAACGCUGGCGGUAGGCCUAACACAUGCAAGUCGAACGGCAGCACAGGAGAGCUUGCUCUCUGGGUGGCGAGUGGCGGACGGGUGAGGAAUACAUCGGAAUCUACCUUUUUCGUGGGGAUAACGUAGGGAAACUUACGCUAAUACCGCAUACGACCUACGGGUGAAAGUGGGGACCGCAAGGCCUCACGCGAUUAGAUGAGCCGAUGUCCGAUUAGCUAGUUGGCGGGGUAAUGGCCCACCAAGGCGACGAUCGGUAGCUGGUCUGAGAGGAUGAUCAGCCACACUGGAACUGAGACACGGUCCAGACUCCUACGGGAGGCAGCAGUGGGGAAUAUUGGGCAAUGGGCGCAAGCCUGAUCCAGCCAUACCGCGUGGGUGAAGAAGGCCUCGGUUGUAA